rnacentral:rRNA from 1 species
UACGGAGGGUGCAAGCGUUAUCCGGAUUCACUGGGUUUAAAGGGUGCGUAGGCGGGCAGGUAAGUCCGUGGUGAAAUCUCUGAGCUUAACUCAGAAACUGCCAUGGAUACUAUUUGUCUUGAAUGUUGUGGAGAUAAGCGGAAUAUGUCAUGUAGCGGUGAAAUGCUUAGAUAUGACAUAGAACACCAAUUGCGAAGGCAGCUUACUACACAAAUAUUGACGCUGAGGCACGAAAGCGUGGGGAUCAAACAGG